rnacentral:rRNA from 1 species
CGUGAGACAGUUCGGUCCCUAUCCACCGUGGGCGUGAGAAAUUUGAGAGGAUCUGUCCUUACUACGAGAGGACCGGGAUGGACAUACCGCUGGUGUACCAGUUGUUCUGCCAAGGGCAUCGCUGGGUAGCUAUGUAUGGAUGAGAUAAACGCUGAAAGCAUCUAAGCGCGAAACUCACCUCGAGAUAAGAUUUCCCAUUCCUAUAUGGAAGUAAGACCCCUGAGAGAUGAUCAGGUAGAUAGGAUGGAAGUGGAAGCGCGGUGACGUGUGAAGCGGACCAUUACUAAUCGGUCGAGGACUUAA